rnacentral:lncRNA from 1 species
CACUGGUUCUUAAAGUAUUGGAAAUCCUCAGAUGUUGCAGCCAACAACUGCUGCUAGGGCUGACACUGUUUCUGGUCCCACAGUAUAGGAACAGGCAAAAAGAUAACAAAUGUAUUUUAACCUUCUAAUAUAUUGUUAUUUUCUAGUAUUAAAAUAUACUUCAAUAUACCUACUAAUCCAGAUCUAUCAGGUAGAACUUUUUGAUUUAUUGUGAAUUGUUUUUGAGAAAAAUAGACACAAGAAUCCUCAACAAAAUCAUAGCAAACCAAAUUCAACAAUAUAUCAGAAAGUUAAUCCACGAUGAUCAAGUAGGCUUCAUUCCUAGAAUGCAAAGUUGUUUCAACAUGUGCAAAUCAAUAAAUGAGAUUCACCAAAUUA